AAGAAAAAAUGAUUUUGUACAAUUGAUUAUGUUAAUGAUUUUUCUUUUUCUUUUCUUUUGUGCAGGCAAUAUUAUGUCUGGCCUAGUCUAUGUUUCUCCAGCGUAAGUACUAAAACCUCAUUUUUACACAUAAAAAAAAAGAAACAAAGAAUAUUCUCUUUUUAUUAGUUUAAUCAGUCUCUGAAUCUCAAUAUUUUUCUUUUUUCACAGAAACGUGUUUUGGCGAAUCUUGAAGCGUAAAUCAACGGAGGAAUUUGAGAGUAUCCCUUACAUUAGCAAAUUAUUAAAUGCUUACUUUUGGAUUUAUUAUGGAUUUAUUAAGACAGAUGGUCUUCUAAUAAUCACUGUGAAUAUGUUUGGUGCUGUUGUUGAGAUCAUUUUUCUCACCAUAUUCUUACUUUUUGCACCUCCAAAAAUGAAGAUUAGGAGUGCUAUCCUUGUGGUUUUUUUCAAUGUGCUAUUUCCAAUAGCAACAACAUUUUACAUGCAAAUAUUUCUGCAUGGAGAUACUCGAAUCGAUAUAGCUGGAACAUUUUGUUCAAUCUUCAGUAUGAUUGCUUAUGCUUCACCUCUUUCAUCUAUGGUAAAACAUAUUCUCAUCUCUUUUUUCAUUUUUCUAUUAUUUGAUGAUCAUGUUUUUUGUCAUCAACAAUUACGUACCAUCUUCUAAGUUUUUUUUUUUUAUUUGUGUGUGUUUUGAUGUACAGAAAACAGUCAUUUUGACAAAGAGUGUAGAAUACAUGCCUUUUCUGCUGUCUCUUAUCCUUUUCUUGAACAGUGUAGUUUGGACUGUGUAUGCUGUUCUUCUAAAAGAUUGGUUUGUUGGGACACCAAAUGUGACUGGAUUUGUGUUGGGAAGUAUUCAGCUGAUUCUGUAUGCAAUGUACUGGAAGCCCAAGUCAUCCAAGCAAGUUGAAGAAGUAGUAAAUGAUUUAGAGGAUCCACUCAUCAUCAAACCUUCAAACGAUCAAUUUGACCAAAACGAUGAGAACGAUGAUGUCGUUUGAUAUUUAUAUU